rnacentral:lncRNA from 1 species
UUUUUUUUUUUUUACCAUAAUAGUUAAAUUCUGUAUUUGAUUAGCUAUCAUUUAACUUUGUUCUUUAGAAAAUAAAAACUAGUUGGCUUUUGUAUAAGAAAUUACAUUUCAUAAGAUUUUUCAAAGCACCACUAACUUAUUUGUCUAGCUGAUUAAACCUGACAAAAGCCAACUGUGGUCAUUAGUAAUUGUAUAUCUUAUCUAACAGUCACAAUUUUGUUUCGCACCAGUCCUCUGGCCUUUCUGUUUGUACAUACACAAGUAGGCCAACCAGGAGUCCUACAUAAGUGGAUGUUUUCAUAAAAUUUCAGCCCUCAGAGCUACUUGUAAUUGCCCAUCUAUAAAUAAACACAGUCCUUCAAGCAAUGACACUGCAGCUUUCCACCAAGCACCUCACAGAGUUGAAUAAUGUGAUCCCAUUGCUACAAGCAUUUUCUCAACAAGUUAUAUUCUAAAGCUAAGCUGGGUUUUGAAAGGCAUUUUUCAUGCAUUUGCAUUUUUGAGCUCCUAGGCUUCUCAUAAUUUUGACUGCAGUCAGCUAGGUAUUAUACAAGCUCUUUAGGCAAAUGCAAAAUAGUUGAAAGCAAUGUCUUCACCUUCAAGCUUAGAGAAUAACUCUAGCCCAAAGAAGAAAUGUGGAUUCAAAUAAAAAGCAGAACAAAAAAUAAGACAUGGAAUACUGCCUGGAUGACCUUAAUGGUCCCUUACCUAAUAACAUUUGGGAGACACUGAUGAACCUUCUAUUUCACUUUGCUUCAAUAGCUUAAACAUACAUUAAGGAAAAUUAGCAAGACCUACAAAUUAUAACUAAGUGAUCUGAGACCUAGUUAGCAGUUCAUAGGGCUUCUGUCCUUACUAAAUCCUGGAAUCUCCACUUAUGCAGUAUGUCUCCCAGACCUCUUGAAAGCUAUCACCAUUGUGCUCUCAUCUGCAUAAUGGGAAUAAUUUUGACUUUCACAGAGUUUAGGUGAGUAUAAGGUUAAAUAAUGAAGGGAGAAGAUCUUUGAAAAGAAAAACAAAGUUCUAUAUCAGUGCAAAUUAUUAUUUUUUUCAUAGUUAUAAACCAUGAAUAAAUCACAUACAACUCUUCAAAUACAUAUGUAAAUGUUAUUCAUAUCCAGUAUUAUCUAAAGCAAAUGCCUAAUUUUGCCACAGCCUCUCCAGUAAAAUAGAUACCUCUUAGUUCUUUUCCUAAAGUCUUCCUUGACAAGGCAGAAAAGGAACAGAUUCAGAUAUAUUAAUAGUAUGUUUUUACAGAUAGCUGAACUUUUUAAAUUAAACUAUAUUAUGUUUAAACAUAAACACUUUGAGAUUUAUUUAAUACCAACUGGGUAAUCAAUCACAGGUAGACAGAAAAAUUGUUCAGCAACUGGAAUCUAUGCCUUUCAAAUGAAGGAGCCAUAUCUUGAUUGCAUUCCCUUCUUCGCUCUAUUUAUCACUAUAAUUAAUGACCAAAUCCUCCUAAAUAUAUCUUAAAUAUGUCUGUCUUUCUUCAUCCAUUAGAAUACUACUACUGGCCAUGGUAGCAGUAUACUGAAUUCUGGUCCACACAAAUUGUAAGACACGCAACUAUUUUAAGAUAAGACAAUCAUCAUCCCCAGACUUUGCUAGUCAGUCCUCCAUCUAUUUUUUUUUAAGAAUUUUAUUGGAAUAUAGGUGACUUACAAUGUUGUGUUAAUUUUAGGUGUACAGCAGAAUGAAUCAGCUAUACAUAUGCAUAUAUAUCCAUUCUUUUUCAGACUCUCUCCCCAUAUAGGCUAUCACAAAGUACUGAAUAGGUUUUCCCAAGCUAUUUGGUAGGUCAUUGGUAUUGACUGAUUUUGUAUAUACUAGUGUGUAUAUGCCAAUACCAACCUCCCAAUCCAUCCCUUCCUGCAAUGUUUUCAAAUAAGCUUGGUUUUGAAGUCUGUGUGUCUGUUUCUGUUUUGUAUAUAAGUUCUUUUGUAUCAUUUUUAUUAGAUUCCACAUAUUAGUGAUUUCAUGUGAUAUUUGUCUUUCUCUGACUUACUUCACCCAUAGAAAACUAUAUUUCAACUUUAUAAAGAAUAUUAUGACUUAAUGGGGUGUUUUGAAGAACCAACAGAGUAAUCAUCAUUAUUUGUUAAGAAUAAUACUAAUAUUGUAACAUCAUAUAUUAUUCUCAGGCUCAGUCUUAUCUUUUGUAAGCACUAAUCUCAGUAAACUCUCUACAAUCAUCACAGUUAAAUACAGAAGAAAAAUAUUUGGUUCUUCUCCGAUUAUCUACACCACUUUCAUUUCCAUAUUCUAUAGUUCUGUUUUUUGGGGGGUAGGGAGGUGCCCACAGCAUGUAGAAGUUUCUGAACUAGGGAUCAAACCCAUGCCACAGCAGCAACCCAAGUCGCUGCAGUGACAAUGCAGGAUUCUUAACCUACUGUGCCACAAGGGAUCUCCCAUAUACUGUAUUUCAGCUUCAUAGAAAAUUUCUCAGUUUUUCAAGUGUCCAUACUGUCUCUCACUGUCAAUCUUUAUAAAUGCUGAUGUCUUCAAAUGGACACCCAUUACCCAAAGCGCCUCCAUCAUUUCAGUUUAGUUUACACAUUGUUUAGGUUGUAUCUCAAAGACAUUCCUUUGGGAAGCCUCACCUGACUGUUCCUGAUAAAAGUUCAUGUUGUAUCCUCUCACUCUCCCAAUAGAGCUGUUGCCAGAGCUGUUGUAAUGAUGAUUUCUUUUUCAAAGGACAGCAAGCUUUUUGAAGGCAGGAACUGUGUCAUGUUUACUUACUUUUUUAUUCCAAGCACUUGGUACCACAUCUGGUAUAUAUCAACAGCUCCCAGUAUUUGUUGAAUGGAUUUAGACUCCAGAACUCAAUAUCUACCUCUUCUGUGAAACUGUCCUAUUUUUUUCAGCUCUGUUCAUCUCCAUCAUAUUACAUUAAUACGUCAACCCAGAAUUUUGGAUUUUCUACUUUGGUUAUUCAUUAAAAGUGUGAUCAUUUUUAGCUUCUUUUAUCAAUCAAUGUCCUUAGUUACAAGGAAUAGAAAGUGAUUCUCACUAUAUUAAAUAUUUUGAGAAACUCACAGAAUAUGAAAGAGACCAGCAACUCACAUAGAGAGGUCCCAACCAAGGAAAUGCCCAAAUUUAUAUCAUAAAAUUGGUCUCAUUGAAGACAUCAUAGCUACCAUCCAUGGAUGCAGACAUGUUAGGUAAUUCCACCAGCCUCAGUAGUACUAGCCAUCAGGUACUAGCUAUUAUCCCCCUGCCCCAAUCACUGUUGUCAGUUGCUUUUGGAGAGUUGAUGCUCUGGUGGCCACUGCCUCACCUCACCAGAAUUCUUUCUGAGUGAUUACUCUUACUUCUGGGGAUGUGCCUGCUUGUCAGAGCUGGGACAUAUGCAAGGGAGGCUGGAAAGGGAGAUUCUCUGGUGGGAGAAGCUUCUCAUGAGAAGCUUCAAGUACCACGAGGAAGUGGCACUGGUGCAAAAAAGUGGAAAUGUCUACUAUAUCCCACACAAUUAUUGCAUGAAUUAGGAUGAAUGAAUGGGAGAAAAAUGCUAACUCAUUGUUCUGUGGUAUCUCUCAAGGUACCCAGAACAAUGUACUGCACAUAGUAGAACAUUAAUGGUAAAUAUUUUAAUACAUAACAGAGUUUCAGGAAAAAAUAGCAAACAAACACAUCAAACAAUGUCACUGAGAGGGGCUUCAAAAGUCCUAUUUGAAAACAGAGUCCAAAUUUUACCACAAACCAUGGGACCUUCUUAGUUAUACCACACCACCUGUGAUAUCACAAGUCUAGGCCUAUUUAACUGUAAUGCAAAAUACGUGAAGUAAAUUCUCCUUUAAGUAGGCAGCAAGUACUGACUGCUUAGCAACAUGGAAUAACGAAGCGAUUAAGGGACUCCAAAAAGAAUACUGUGGACUUACACAAGAUUAGGAAGAAGAUAUCAUGUGCCAUGCAGAAGCCAACCCUCAGUAAUAGAUUCUCAGAAUGCUAGCUAGUCACCAGCAUCAUUCAGAGGAAUGCCUGGUAGACAGAUGUUAUAAAAUUGAACUCAUUUAUCUUUGAAAGCAGGCAUUCCACCAGUGAAGCAAUGACAGAUUGAAAACAGACUGUAUAUAGACACAUGGUCUUUACACAAUGUGUAUACCAUGAGUAAUAAAACAGUUAUCUCUUUCUCUUAAAGCAAUUCUUUGAAUUAGAGAAUACUUGGUAGAUUUUAAAAGUUCAUUUCAGAAAGCCAGGAUUAAUAAAGAUUUGCUUGCAUAGUAUUAUUUGUGUGAACAAGAGAGAAAGAUUUCAUUUUUUGCCAGAAAUGUUAAAAUAUCCAUAUUUGAAUAAGCUUUUUUUUUUUUUUGCACUAGGCUGUGACCAGGCUAGACAAAGAAGAAUUAAAUGACUAGCUUGCUUUUUACCUCUAAGCUUGGAUAUAAAAUUUAACCUAGCCAGAAGCAAUUUUUUUUAAAAAUGCAUAAGAGAGAUUACCAUGGCUUUUCUUAGUACACACAAAGCUAUUCAAUAAAAUCUUAAUACUUGGGAGUAUAGUAAUCGUUCAGAAAGAAUAAAGAAAGAAAAGUUUAAAAAAGAAUUUCUCCAUCCAACAGAUUACACUGUGCUGACAGGAUUUCACACACAGCUUUAAUAGAUUAAAACACGUGAAUAGUGUUAAGAACCUUGAGAAAUCUUUCAUCCCUUCUCUCCAUAACUUUUUUACAAAUGGUUAAGAUUUCAAGCCAUGCCCAAAAUAUAAGUUCCAAAUAUUUUCUUUAAAUGUCUGCAACAGGAAAACUCACUGUCUUUCAGAACUGUUUUCUUUAGUCCUGACCAAAAUACUAAAUUGCAAAAAAAGACUAGGCAUAAAUUAAACAAAUAAAAGGUAUGAUUUUUCAUAGCUUUCACAUGCUUUAUCCUAAAACAAUUCCUUUAAAUAAAAAGAAAUACUAAUAAGUAUGUUCAGAAUGAAGCUAUUUUUUAUAACAACGAUAAUAUUGAAUACUCUUUUAUGCCUAUACAUGGCAGAGGCUACCAGUAGUCUCCUAUAUCCUUAUCACUCUUUCUUUAAGGCUUCUCUUUUAAUAGGCAUAAAAUUUUACCUAAACACAUAGCCACCCAUCAUAAAAGGUACAUUUCUCAGGCUCUCUAACAUCUGGGCAUGGCCCAAUGAUGAAGAAUAAGACAAUGCAAUAGAAGCCAAUAGUUUCAGGACAGCUUCAAGGAAUCUUACUUUAAUGACAGCCAGUGUAUGCCCUUUCGGCUCCUUUUGACUUUAUCCCCUUUCCAUCCCACUGCUUGGAAUAUAAUCAAUGUUUUGAACCAUGGAAAUGAGGCCCAUUCUCUAGGAUGGCAAGGUAGAAUCUGAAAGGAAUCUAACUCCUUUAUACCACCUGCUCUGAAAUUUUAUAGGAGAAAAGUAAAUUUCCCUCUUGUUUAAAUCAGAGUCAUUCAGGGCCUGCACGACUUACAGGCAAAACCAAAUCCUAUACACAAACAUUGAUACAAUGGGUAUAGAAGCUAAGGCUAGUUACCUCUUCAGUACCACUUCUCCCUUUGUUUCUUAAAAAAAAAAAAAAAUUAUAAUUUCCUUCUAGAAAAAAAUUUCCUAGACCCAAGAAAAAUCAUUAAAUGGGUAAAUAUAGUCAUAUCAAUUCCAUGACCCUCUACCAGAAAAUCAUUUUCUCUGCCUUCUUUAUAACAAAUGGGGCAAAUAUCUAGUUCUGACCAUGAGAAUAGGAGAAAUUUACAGAACUAUUUUUCCUCUCUGAUGGAAAUAAGUCCCCUUUCUCCACUCAGCCUUUUCCUACCACUAGUAAUGCCCUUGAAUGAAGAUGAGACACUUAUAGCAGUCACCUUAUAACCAUGAACCAAGAAGCCUCUGUGGAAAAGAUAUCAAGUCAAUAAAAAGCAGGAGGAAGGAGGCUAGGUGCCUACAUCCUUGAGCUAUUCC